GGUCCCAUUGCAUUGGAAAACAGCAAAUACAACUUCUUUAUUCAAAAAGGGAAGGAGACAGGAUUCAGUAAACUACAAGCCCAUUCCUUUAACAUCCAUCAAAGGAGAAAAUGCAGAAAGCUGUUCUUCAAGAUGUUAUUGCAGAACAAUUAGAAAAAUCAAGAGUCACUCUAUGAAGAUCUAAGAAGUAGAAGCAGGAGGAGAGGUUGGAGGAUUAGGUGGAGAGUUCAGAAGGAGGAGAAGACUGAGCUUUGAAAUUCAUUUCAUUCAGGGUUGCUCCUGUUACUCAGCACCCAUGGUGGUGAAGGAGCUAUUCUUGGUUUGACGACAUUACUCUGAAGAAGGUCAACACAGCGCCUGGCACCAGAGGGAAUCCUCCUAAUCAGUCGACAGAAGAAAUUAUCGUGUUUUGAGUGGUGAGAGCGUGGAACACCCAUCCGAAGCACAGAGCUGGCAAUGCCUCGUCAGGAGUGUGGGCUGUCAUACCUCUUGGCCCUCUGCAUCCAGAGGAGGUAAAGGUGGAAGUCUGCAGUGGCUGCUAACAUGAAGUCAGAACAACAGGACAUUCCUGAGGUGGUUUGCCUUGUCAUAGUCCCAGAGAGAAUGCUCAAGGAGGGGAUU